AUGUCCGGCUCCGACCUUCAAGGCCGGUGGAUGCCUUCCUCCAUUACGGAAGAAGACGUGCUAAAUUUAAGAGAUGCCAGGUAUCUAACCGGCGAAAUCUCGCAUAGGUUGCCUGCUCAAGGGCAGGUCAUUCCCACUCCCAAGCCUGGUGAGAGCGUGGUGUUCGCGUCUCACUUCCUUCGGGGGCUAAGCUUCCCGAUUGAUCCCUUCUUGAGGGGGCUCAUGUUUUAUUACGGGAUGGAAUUUCACGAGUUAGCUCCGGAGUCCAUCCUCCAUAUCUCAUCGUUCAUUGUCGUGUGCGAGGUCUUCCUCUAUAUUACUCCUCACUUCGGAUUGUGGCUCAAAACCUUCAAAGUAGAGCCGAAUAUGAUCGAGGGGCAGCACGCGGAGUGCGAGGUGCUGUUAUAA
rnacentral:rRNA from 1 species